rnacentral:rRNA from 1 species
AUGGCCGUGUCACGCUCCGGCGCGGCGGGCGUGGCCGCCGGCGGCGACACGACCGACGACGCCGACCGAGCGCGGCUGCACCAGCUCGGCUACAAGCAGGAGCUCAAGCGCGGCCUCUCCCUCAUGUCCAACUUCGCCUUCUCCUUCUCCAUCAUCUCCGUCAUGGCCGGCGUCACCACGACCUACAACGGCGGGCUGCGCUACGGCGGGCCGGCGUCCAUGACGCUCGGGUGGCUGGUGGUGGCGGCCUUCAACGGCUGCGUCGCGCUGUCCAUGGCGGAGAUCUGCUCCGCCUACCCGACCUCCGGCGGGCUCUACUACUGGAGCGCCAAGCUCGCCGGCAAGGAGUGGGCGCCCCUCGCCUCCUGGGUCACCGGCUGGUUCAACAUCGUCGGACAGUGGGCUGCUACCACGAGCACGGACUUCUCCCUGGCGCAGCUGGUCCAGGUGAUCAUCUUGCUCGGCACCGGCGGGGCCACCGGCGGCGGGUACACGGCCUCCAAGUACGUCGUGCUGGCCAUCCACGGCUUCUUCCUCGUCCUGCACGGCCUCAUCAACAGCCUCCCCAUCCGCUGGCUGUCCUGGUGCGGCAAGCUCGGCGCGUUCUGGAACACGGCGGGCGCGUUCACGCUGGUGAUCCUCAUCCCGGCGGUGGCCAAGGAGCGGGCGAGCGCCAAGUUCAUCUUCACGCACUUCAACGACGACAACGGCAUGGGGAUCCACGGCAAGGCCUACAUUCUCGCCCUCGGCCUCCUCACCAGCCAGUACUCUCUGCUCGGCUACGACGCCUCCGCUCACAUGAUUGAAGAGACGAAGAACGCGGACUGGAGCGGGCCGAUGGGGAUCAUCAGCUCGGUGGCCCUGUCGACCACGUUCGGGUGGAUCUUCCUGGUGGCGCUGACGUCGAUCGUGACGGACAUCCCGUACCUGCUCAGCCCGGACAACGACGCCGGGGGCUACGCCGUCGCCCAGGCCCUGUACGCCGCCUUCGACAGGAGGUACGGCAGCGGCGUGGGAGGGCUGGUCUGCGUCGGGGUAGUCGCCGUCGGCAUCUUCUUCGCCGGCGCCAUGUGCAUCGCCAGCAACUCGAGGAUGGGGUACGCCUUCUCGAGGGACAGGGCGAUGCCGCUCUCGCGCGUGUGGCUCCGCGUCAGCAAGAACGAGGUGCCCCUCAACGUCGUCUGGCUCUCCGUCGUCGUCGCCUUCGUCAUGGCCCUCACGUCGCUGGGGAGUCAGGUGGCGUUCCAGGCGAUGGUGUCGAUCGCGACGCUGGGGCAGUACAUCGCCUACGCGCUGCCCAUCUUCUUCCGGGUGACGACGGCGAGGAGGUCGUUCGUGCCGGGGCCGUUCCACCUCGGGAGAUACGGGGUCGCCGUCGGCUGGGCCGCCGUCCUCUGGGUGGCGUUCCUCACCGUGCUCUUCUCGUUGCCGGUGGCGUACCCGGUGGCCAAGGACAACUUCAACUACACGCCGGUGGCCGUCGGCGGCGUGCUGCUGCUCAGCGUCGGCGCAUGGGUGGUCAACGCCAGGUUCUGGUUCCAGGGGCCCAUCACCAAUGUCGACUUGUAG